GUGUCUGUAGCUCAGUUGGUAGAGCAUGGUGCUUGCAACACCAGGGUUGUGGGUUCAAUUCCCACGGGGGACC
rnacentral:tRNA from 1 species